CUGGUAUUGAUUGGUGCUUGCAUCAUGAUUUACAUUUGAGUGAGUGGCGAACUGGUGAGUAACACGUGGGAAACCUGCCCAGAAGCGGGGGAUAACACCUGGAAACAGAUGCUAAUACCGCAUAACAACUUGGACCGCAUGGUCCGAGUUUGAAAGAUGGCUUCGGCUAUCACUUUUGGAUGGUCCCGCGGCGUAUUAGCUAGAUGGUGGGGUAACGGCUCACCAUGGCAAUGAUACGUAGCCGACCUGAGAGGGUAAUCGGCCACAUUGGGACUGAGACACGGCCCAAACUCCUACGGGAGGCAGCAGUAGGGAAUCUUCCACAAUGGACGAAAGUCUGAUGGAGCAACGCCGCGUGAGUGAAGAAGGGUUUCGGCUCGUAAAACUCUGUUGUUAAAGAAGAACAUAUCUGAGAGUAACUGUUCAGGUAUUGACGGUAUUUAACCAGAAAGCCACGGCUAACUACGUGCCAGCAGCCGCGGUAAUACGUAGGUGGCAAGCGUUGUCCGGAUUUAUUGGGCGUAAAGCGAGCGCAGGCGGUUUUUUAAGUCUGAUGUGAAAGCCUUCGGCUCAACCGAAGAAGUGCAUCGGAAACUGGGAAACUUGAGUGCAGAAGAGGACAGUGGAACUCCAUGUGUAGCGGUGAAAUGCGUAGAUAUAUGGAAGAACACCAGUGGCGAAGGCGGCUGUCUGGUCUGUAACUGACGCUGAGGCUCGAAAGUAUGGGUAGCAAACAGGAUUAGAUACCCUGGUAGUCCAUACCGUAAACGAUGAAUGCUAAGUGUUGGAGGGUUUCCGCCCUUCAGUGCUGCAGCUAACGCAUUAAGCAUUCCGCCUGGGGAGUACGGCCGCAAGGCUGAAACUCAAAGGAAUUGACGGGGGCCCGCACAAGCGGUGGAGCAUGUGGUUUAAUUCGAAGCUACGCGAAGAACCUUACCAGGUCUUGACAUACUAUGCAAAUCUAAGAGAUUAGACGUUCCCUUCGGGGACAUGGAUACAGGUGGUGCAUGGUUGUCGUCAGCUCGUGUCGUGAGAUGUUGGGUUAAGUCCCGCAACGAGCGCAACCCUUAUUAUCAGUUGCCAGCAUUAAGUUGGGCACUCUGGUGAGACUGCCGGUGACAAACCGGAGGAAGGUGGGGAUGACGUCAAAUCAUCAUGCCCCUUAUGACCUGGGCUACACACGUGCUACAAUGGAUGGUACAACGAGUUGCGAACUCGCGAGAGUAAGCUAAUCUCUUAAAGCCAUUCUCAGUUCGGAUUGUAGGCUGCAACUCGCCUACAUGAAGUCGGAAUCGCUAGUAAUCGCGGAUCAGCAUGCCGCGGUGAAUACGUUCCCGGGCCUUGUACACACCGCCCGUCACACCAUGAGAGUUUGUAACACCCAAAGUCGGUGGGGUAACCUUUUAG
rnacentral:rRNA from 1 species